UCACAGAUUAUUUCGAGAGGUCACAAAUCAUUCAAAUUACAAGUUACAUUUUAUUUACGUAUCACAUAGGUCACAAAUAAUUUUUUAGUUCAAAAACACCUAAUAUUUUGUUACAAAUCAGCGAAAUAAUGGGUCACAGACACCAAAAAGUUGGUCACAAAUUCCAAAUAAUUGGUCUCAGAUUUCAAACACUUUCUCUAUCGGUCCUGAACCAACACCAAUCUUGAUCCCAAAUCACCACCACCUAAUUGCAGCUUGCACCACACCACUGCAUCACCAAACCCUAUCCCGAUCGCAUUCCACUACAAUACUUGGUCAUAAACACCACACAUCCCAAAAUUACUCCACAAUCACCAUAAAAUCAAAUUCAUAGCUGAAGACCACCCCAAAACCAUGAUAAACAAUGGAAAACUACCCCAAAACCAUGACUAAGCACUGAAGUGCGUGAGGCUGGAAAGGAUGCUCGGAUCAAGGUGUGUAAAAUGAACGACAGGACACUGCUCACAGCGUUGCUACUCGCGACGGUCAAUGGUGAUGUAGCUGUACAGACGAUCCAUGGUAACACCGCUGCGUCGGAGAUCCUCUUCCAAUGGUGACGCCGCUAUUGUUGAGAGAGGAGAAAUUAGGGAGGAGAAGAUAUGUGACUGCGUGUUGAGAGAGAGAGAUAGAAGAGUGAGACGGGAUUGGGGAAAUAAUCACCUGCACCAUUAACUAUCGCAGCUUUGAGUUCACGGUGGUCUCCGGCAAUGGGCGGCGCGCCAGAUGUGUGGAGAGAGUGAGGAGAGAAGAUGAGUGAAAAUGAAAAUUUUAGGGUUUGGAAUUUGAAUGGAAAAGUUGGGUACCUGAUUUAUGAUUAAACAAACUUAUUAUCUGAUUUUUGAAAUGUAAUUUUGAAAUGCCUGGUUUUAG
rnacentral:lncRNA from 1 species